ensembl:lncRNA
AUGGCUCAGACUGAGGGCCUCUGCCAGUGGUGGAUCUGGUUAAUUCAGCAGCACUCCUGGGUUAUAGUAUGCUGGAUCUCCUUUUCCUCCUUUGAUCUAGGUGCAUCUUUUGAACUCUUCAGAAUACCAGGAAGAUUCCUUGAACUGUUACUGAACUUGCCGGGAGUUUGUCAAAUCACUGUAUCCAUGAUGCAUGGAAGUUCCAUAAAUUGUCGGCUUCUAGUUUCCUUGCUGGGCCCUUCAGGUGCUAAAUCGUUACAGUUCCACAGCCUGAGCUGGAUCUCUAGGACGGCGAACUUCUGUCAGAAGGAACACUGAAGAGGUACCUGAAGAGAAGGAAUGGGCAAGCAUAAAGGAAAAUGCAUAUAGGGAAAUCUUGACUAGGUAUGAAAACAUUAGCCUGCCACAAUGCACAGUUCCCAGUGGCCCCCAGCCAAACCUUGUGGCACUCUUGAGUGCGGCGUAAGUACCUGUGCAGUGUGGAUCUGGCCUGCUGCAUAAAGCAUGGUUGGGUUUGUUUGUAGAAGGUCUUCAUCUUUCUCUCCUGUUCCUCAUUUCAUCUUGUUUAAACUUCUAAACUUCCCUUUUAUAUGAUUCAUCUAAAUUCCGAGAAUGAAGCUGCCCAGGGAGCCUCCUAUUAGGUUGUUUAUUUCGUCUGCCUAUUUAUAUCAUGUUAACCUGAGCUUUGUCUCAUAUGGAACUUGUUCCAAAUUCAAAUUUUAACCUGUGUCUUCUUGUACAUCCAGGUAUUACCAUCAUACUGGAAGAACAUUUCGGCUUAGGGCACGCUUCAUUUCUGUGGUCAGGAUUUGUGGGGGCUCCACUGGAUCAAGGCACUCCCCAUAGGGCUGUGGUAGCAAUGGUCACUGCCAUUUGUUGAGAGCUUACAAACUGUCAGGCACUGUCAGGUUCCUAACAUACAUUAUCUUGCUCACAGCGAGACUGCAGAAGCCCAUGAGCCACAAACUCAUCGCUUGCAUAUAAAAGGUAUGCCUGAAGAUGCAACAUGGUGUUGUUCAGCUAAGUAAUUUCAUGCGAUGGCUCAAUUAUGUUGAGUCAUAACAGGAAAUCUUGACCCUUCUCCUACAAUUUGUUAAUUUUCACAGAUCUGGGAGAAUCUGAGUAUAGAUCCAAAUUAUCUUAAUUUCUUAGUGACCUAAAGCCAGUGAACCAAAAUCUUGUCACAAUACCUUGCUUACCUGGUCUCACGUUUCUCCAAUUUCCAUCUAUACGGGGUAAAAAAAGAAGAAAAUAAAAAGAAAAAAAGAAAGAAAAAAAUUUUCUUUUUAUAGAGUUCUGGCAUUUAUGAUUUUUAUUUUGCUUGAGACAGGGAAACGGACAAAGAAGUAAAAAGAACUAUUGGAACAACUGCCAGCCUAGCGAUUAGCAUAUUCUUGGAUCUUAAGGAAACUCCUGGCCAUCUUCAGUGUUUUGUUUUUGUUUGUUUUGCUUUUGCCAAAGGUGAAGGCCAGUGUUUCAGGUAAAAUAUUUUACUCUUUGUUUUGCCAAUAUUUAUUCCUUAUGGCUGUUGUGCCUCUCUGUCAUAUCUCAGGGUAGAAAUUCCCUUAUGAGCUACAUGAUUAGGAAUGCAAUGAGGACUAUUAAAUAUAUUUGAAUACAGGCAGCAAAACUGCCACGCAGCCCAUCUCAGGAGACCAUCCAAAAGU